rnacentral:rRNA from 1 species
AAACAUGUCUUUUUGAGUUGUAUUUAAAGUCUGACCUGCCCACUGAAUAAAAUUUAAAUGGCCGCAGUAUUUUGACUGUGCAAAGGUAGCAUAAUCAUUAGUUUUUUAAUUGAAGGCUGGUAUGAAUGGUUGGACGAAGUAUAAGCUGUUUCAUGUAAAUUUUUUAUAGAAUUUUAUAUUUUAGUUAAAAAGCUAAAAUUUUAUUAAAAGACGAGAAGACCCUAUAAAUCUUUAUAAUUAUUAUUAUUAAAUUUUUUUGGAUUAUUUUUAUUUUUAUAAUAAUAAUUAUUUUAUUGGGGUGAUAUUAAAAUUUAAUGAACUUUUAAUUUUUAAAAAUCAUUAAUUUAUGAAUUAUUGAUCCAUUAAUAUUGAUUAUAAGAAUAAGUUACUUUAGGGAUAACAGCGUAAUUUUUCUUGAGAGUUCAUAUCGACAGAAAAGUUUGCGACCUCGAUGUUGGAUUAAGGUAUAAUUUUGGGUGUAGUUGUUCAAAUAUUAAGUCUGUUCGACUUUUAAAUCCUUACAUGAUC